GGCCGCGUGGCCUAAUGGUUAAGGCGUUGGUUUUCGGUUUUCCAUUUUCGGUCCCGGUUUCCGCCAAAGUAUGGGCGUUCAAAUCGCUCCGUGGUCG